rnacentral:rRNA from 1 species
CUUUCUAUGGAGAGUUUGAUCCUGGCUCAGGACGAACGCUGGCGGCGUGCUUUACACA